UGUCUUUAUAAGCUUCAGUCUCUCUUCUCCUCACACUCCAACCCUGCUCACCUCUCAGCUGGACAGUAAGGGACGUUUACACCACACACUGACAACAUGCUGGGGACCCUCUGCACUCUCAUCACUGCUCUAACAUGUGUGAGUGGUGUGACGGUGGUGACACAGAAGCCUCCUGUUGUGACGCUGAGAAAAGGAGAGACAGCCACCAUGGACUGUAACCUGGGGACUGUUACUGAUCAACGAGCGGUCUGGUAUAAACAGAUUCCAGGAGGAGUUCCUCAGUACUUGUUAUAUUUGUAUCACAGCAUGAGCUCUCCAAGCUAUGGCUCUGGUUUCUCCUCUCCCAAAUUCACAUCUACUCAUCAGUCAACAUCAGAUUAUCGUUUGAUCAUCAACAAUGUGGAGGAGGGAGACUCAGCAGUCUAUUACUGUAACACAUGGGACAGCUCUGUGAACGUAUCACAGUGAUUUCCACUGUGAC